CUCGCAUGCAAUUGGUCUGUGCGUUUCCUCAUCCGCUAAACCACUACCGUAAAAAACUGCAAAAGCCGCGCCGCGCCGCCAGGUAAAAAAAUAAAAACGCCGUCAGGUUUUAAAUCACAACCUUCUGUUUUGGCUGGCGGUCCGGGUCCGGAUGGGACGGCCUCUGGGUCCGGACCCGGACCGCGGUCCGCCAGUUAGUGACCUAUGGGAUAGAGGGUGUAGGUGUAGAGGGUGUAGGUGGGCGGAUGUGCUACGUUUGUUGAGGACGGACUGGCAUACAGUAGUAGUGGAGGUAAACGAUGCAGAGUGUGUCGGGAUAGAGGUGUGCAGGAAUGAAGGCGGCAUAGUGGUGUUACAUUUUUAUAACCCUUGUAUGCCUCUAAGUGCAGAGCAGCUAGAUGUAAUGGGUAGGUGUGGUGGGGGUGGAAAGGUGAUUUGGUGUGGGGACUUUAAUGCACAUAAUGAGAUAUGGGGAGGUGGACACACGGAUGGUAAUGGGGCAGUGGUGGAGGAAUGUAUGGAGGGUUGUGGGAUGGUAUGUGUUAAUGGGGGGGGGGGUGGUACUAGGGUAAAUAUAGGGAAAGGGACUGAAUCCUGUUUAGAUCCAAUGUGGGUGUCUGCGUCUAUGGCAGGGAGGUGUGAGUUGCGAGUGAUGAGACUCCACCGUAGGGAGUGAUCAUUACCCUAUUGUUGGUAGGUUUGAGGCUGGUGUGUGUAUGCAGAGCAGAGGUCAUGGCAAGAGGUGGUGUUAUGAGAAGGCUGAUUGGAUCAAGUUCAAGUACUUGCGUGAGAGGGUAGGACGGAAGUUGACGAUGGAGGGAUCAGUGAAUGAAUGUGCUCAGGAACUGACAAGUAUGCUAGUGGCAGCAGCAAAUGGAAAAUGUUCAGGAAAAUGUUGGGUAAAGGAGGAGAUGCGGAAAUACCAGUGUUGGUGGUGGGGGAUGCAAUUGCUAUGACCGGUAAGGAAAAGGUGGAUGCGUUGGGGGUAGCAUUUGCGAAGGUUCACAGUGGCGAGCACCUAUGUGAGGAGGCGAUGCGAGAUGUUAAAACAAAACGGAGAUGUGUUUCAUAAGAAGGUAGGGACGGAGGAGGUGAUGGAUGCGGAAUUCAGUUUGAGCUGACGAGGGCACUGGUGGUAUGCAGGCGUUCGGCACCGGGAGAGGAUAGGGUAUGCUAUGAGAUGGUGAUGAAGGCCCCUGAUAAUGUAAUGGAAGCUAUAGUAGGGCUGUUUAACAAGGUGUGGAGGACUGGGGUGCUGCCGGACGGGUGGAAGCAGGCCGUAGUACUGCCGUUUGCUAAACCGGGUAAAGAUCCAGGGAAGGUGGAUAGCUAUAGACAAAUAGCUUUGACCUCAAACUUAUGUAAACUGAUGGAAAAGAUGAUAGUUAAAAGAUUGAUAUUCUACCUGGAAAGUAAGGGAUUGAUGAGUGAAGCACAGAGUGGGUUCAGGAGAGGAAGGUCUACUAUGGAUGCACUGGUGGUGGUUAGCACAGAGAUAGCCAAGGCACUUGCUAUGAAGGAGAAGAUGGUGGUGGUGUACUUUGAUAUAGAGAAGGCGUAUGACACUAUGUGGAGAGAGGGGGUGUUAAUGAAGUUAAGUGCAUUGGGAGUUGAGGGAGUUGUAUAAUUGGAUUCUGAAUUUCUUGUUUGACAGGUACAUACAGGUGAGGGUGGGGACGAUAUUGUCAGAGAGGCAUGAGGUUGCUAAUGGCACCCCACAGGGCAGUGUGACUAGCCCUGUGUUGUUUACAAUAAUGAUAGACGAUGUGUUUAGGGAUGUAGGGAGAGGUAUGGGUAUGGCACUAUAUGCAGAUGAUGGGGCUUUGUGGAAGAGCGGUAAGAAUGAGAAGUUUGUAAUGAGGAAGAUGCAAGAGGCGGUGGAUGUGGUGGAAGAAUGGUCCAAGAGAUGGGGUUUUAGGAUGUCUGUGACUAAAUCGUGUUUCAUGAUGUACUCGAGGAGGAGAGUGAGAGAGGUUCGGUUACAUAUGUAUGGACAGGAAUUGGGAAGGGUGUUAGAGUUUAAAUAUUUGGGAGUAUGGUUUGAUGAGAGGCUUACAUUCAGGAAACAUGUGCAUGCUACACACACACACACACACAAACGUCCAUUACUUUCGAGGCUCCCCCUUUUCAAUCGGCCUCUCUCCAAACGCCGUCUUACCGUGUGUUCGUGUUCAUCUGCGUCGACAGAUAAUAAAGAGCCCACUAUAGCGAGAAAAGCCGCAGCUGCUACCUUCCACCUGGAAGACCCCAUUCUUUUUCGGAGUAGGAAUACAGCGAGAUUGGGGAUGUUAGCUUUGUAGGGCUAUCCCACCUUCUUCCUGGUUGUAUGACAGAGGCAAUUUUAGGGAUGCUCUCGUUCGCAUUUGGCGUAAGCGCUUCACCACCGCACAUCGCACGCAAAUUUGAUGGGCUGACUUGAGUCACAUGACCCGCAUCCUCCAGUCACGGGGGAAAGCGAUGGAUCAAACGGUGGAUAAAAAAACUCCCGCCUGCGUAUCGUCCGCAACCUUCAGCCACGUCAUCC
ensembl:lncRNA